ensembl:lncRNA
AGACCUGCCCCCGGCCUUGUGACCCGAGCUUGUUGCUCAGGACUAAUUACACGCCUGUCUCCAGGGCCGGCCAGCUCCGGGGGCCUGCUGACUGUGCGUGCUCCGUUUUUGGUGGCCGUGUCCCUCUGGCCGUGACCUCCCUCCUAGCAGCACUGAGAGGGCCUGUUGGCGACACGCUUUGUGAACAGCCCAGCACCAGGCUGACUCCUGUGUGGUCAUUACUAUCACUAGGCAUGAUAUCCUGAGCCACAGCUGGGGACGCGUGUGUCCUGGGUCCAGAGAAGGGGCUGAACUUGACCCACAGGUCUGGCCACCGGCCGCUUGUUUCCCUCUCAGGCCCCGGGCGGACCCAGAGCCUGCCCAGCCUGCCAAACUGCUUGGGACCCCUGGGGUUUUACCUUCCCUGACCCUAGUGUCCAGGCGCCGCCUCAGUGGGGAGCAGAGGCGAAGGGCUGACCUUGAGUUGGGCUGCAAGGUGAAGAGCGCUGACAGACAUUUAUUUCCAAAAUAGAGCUGACUAUUUGGACAACCGCUUAUUAACUGGGGGGAAGGGAGUGCUACUUCAGGCCCGACAUUAUAAAGGCAUUUUCCUUUAAGAGCUUUUCCUGAACUUUUCACACCGGCUUGGCUGUAGGGAGCAGGGCAGAGAGAGCAGCCCCUCAUCCCAGGUCCCAGGAGGGCUACGGCCAGAUGAGCCAUGAGCCUCCAUGACGGACACGAUGUCCUCCAGAGGGCUCCGAGGCCCUGUCACGCAGCUGCAGCGUCCCACACUGUGGCUGACAGAUGAAGAAACUAAAGCACUCAGCUAAUCCUGCAGCAACCUGAACAGAGGCAGGGGCUCCUCUAUGGAGGAAGCACAACCUCCUGAAGCCCUGCUCCAGACUCAGCCAUGUCUACUGAGCAAGGGUGGGGACAGGAGCAGCCAGCCCGGUUCCAAGCCUGCCCUGUACUGAGCCUGUCCUGCUCCUUGCCUCUGGGAGACCUUGAGCAAAGCACACUCCUUGAUUUCCUCACUGCUAAGAUGGACAUCGGUGCUUUGUCCAUGGUCCAGAGUUGUCCCGAUGUUUCAAUGAGAUGCUGGGCACAGAGGUGUCCUGAAGACUGUGAAGAGCUGCCCAGGGACCAGCUUACCUCUGAGAGGGCAAGAGGAGGAGUGAUUCUUCUGUGCCCCAUGAUGAAGGCAGGGGCCUGUCUGCAGAAUGUCCCCUUGACUCACCAUAAAGGAGGGAAAGAUCCAUUUAUGACACUUCUCAAGCACCUCUUAGGCAAGGCGCUGAGUUGGAGGCAUUCACAUGGAUACUCUCAUGGAACCCAAGCAGCCGCUCUGUGAUGUCAUGGUCAUCACUCACAUUUCACAGUAAAGAUGUGGGUCAGAGGGGGUAAGCGGUGUGCCAAGGUCACACAGCUGGGGCUCUAGCCACAUGGGGAGGAGGUGCAUGGAGAAGGGGUGUUGCCUUUCCUGGGGCUUGAAAUGGUCUAGCCCAUGAGUGACAUGUCACCACUAAGGGAGAGCUUCUCGAUUGGCUGAAUGGACGUGGCCAAGGAUGAGUCCUGGCUGGCUGUGAGCAGUGUCGGCAGGAAGAAGCGGGUGAGUGCCAGGCCUGGGCCGGCGGGGGAUGGAGGUGGAGACCUGGCCCCAGCAGAGUGGGGUGCUGGAGUGAACUGUGCCCUGAAGAUGAGUCACCCACGUUCUUGGGGGCAGUUUCUACAGCAGGGAGGUGUGUCAACAGCCCUGCAGACCCUAUGCCUGGGCUUCAGAAAGGAGCAAGGGGGACCCUCAGGGAGAGGCGUGAGAAGGGCUGGGGGUGUCCCACUCGUGUGGUAUUUGUGGCACUGAGCCUGGGGCUGUGGUCAGGGUGACCAGUGGAAGGUGAACACAGAUCUUCACGGGUGCUCUGCCAAGUAAUUAGCGUGUAUUGACCGUUUAACAUCUCCACAAAGCAGGCAAUGCUGCUGGAACUGAUUCACAGAUGGGGAGACUCGAGAUCCAGAGAGGCAGAGAGACUGGCCUGAAGCCUCACAGCCCAUAGGAAGGUGAAUGUUUGUGUCCCCCAGUCAAGCAGCCCUCAUCCCCAGUGUGAUGGUGUUUGGAGGCAGGCAUUUCCUUUGGGAAACAUUUAAGGUUAGAUGGGGUCACGAGGGUAGGGCCCCAGUAUGGAAUUAGUGUCCUUAUGAAAAGAGGAAGAGACACAUGAUCUGAGACUACGGCAAGAAGUCUGAAAGCCAGUGAGCGAGUCCUCACCAGACCUGACCCUGCUGGCAUCUCCCUCUCAGCCCCCAAGCUUCACAACCGUGUGGAGUUAAGUCCUUGACGCCUGAGGCCUCAGUGUACAGUAUUUUGUUACAGCGGCCCAGACUGGUUGAGCCAUGGGCUGAGCUGGGUUUGCACCCCGCAUGCUGGGUCUUAGCCCUGCCUUGCCUGGCCACAGUGCCAUGACCUCCCUGAUAGUGAAUUUAGACCAGACACUGCUGCCCCAGGCCAGUGGGAUGAGGAAGUGAGCUGAACACUCUUGGGCUCAUGUCUUAACCUCUCUGAGCUGCAGGCACUUCAGCCAUGAAUGAGGAAUAUAGUUGCAUCCCCUUUUCUGAUUCCUCCGAGUGUGAAAUGAGGAAUGAAAUGGUAGGACAUGGCAUGCGUCUCGAAGGACUGCUGCAACAAAUCACCACAGACAGGUGGCUUAAAGCAACAGGAGUGGAUUCUCUUACAGUCCUGGAGGCUAGAAGUCCAAAAGUUGUGGGCAGGGCCGCACUGCCCCUAAGGCCUCUGGGGAAGGGUCCUUCCUGAAUCCUCUGGCUUCUGGGGCCCUGCAAUGUUGGCAGCUCCAUCACUGUCUGACUCCAUCAUCACGUGGACUCUCCUCUGUGUCUCUGUCUGUCCCCAAAUCUUGCUCUUCUUUCUCUUAGAACGAUGCCAGUUCUUUUCUGAUUUGUUUUUGUUGAUACAACUCACUGUGAUUUUAAAAAUAAACUUUACAUUGUGGGAUAGUUUUAGAUUUAU